CAAAAACAAACAAAUGAAAGAAAUUAACUAAUUAAUAAAUAUUUUAAAAAGUGCCCAAGCAUGAUGGUACAUGCCUUUAUCCCAGCACACGGAAAGAUCAGGCGUACAAGGUCAUCCUUAGCUACAUAACAAGUUUGAGCCAACCUGAGCUACAAGAAAAAGUAAAAGUAAAAAACAAGUCCAAGUGCAGCUGAACUUAAAACUUAACUUUAAUUUGUUCUGGGAGAAGAAAAUUUUAUUAUUCUUUAAGUGGGAUAUCUACAAAUAAACUAUGAGCACAGGAGAGAAAAUGAAAUAUAAAUUUGCUAUAUUACAUCCAUGUUAAAUUAAUUUAAAAUAAGGAAACGAAGGCUAGGAAUACAGUUCAGCUGGCUGAAGACUUAUCUACUGAGAUUAAUUCCCGGCACUGCAUAAACUGGGUGUGGUGAUAUACUCCAUCUCUCAGUACAGUGAUACAGUCAUCUCUCAGUACAGUGAUACAGUCACCUCUCAGUACAGUGAUACAGUCAUCUCUCAGUACAGAGAUACAGUCAUCUCUCAGUACAGUGAUACAGGUCAUCUCUCAGUACAGAGAUACAGUCAUCUCAGUACAGUGAUACAGUCAUCUCUCAGUACUUGGGAGAUGGGAGGCAGGAAACUCAGAAGUUCAAGGUCUUUCUUAGCUACAUACUGAGUUCAAGACCAGCCUGGGUUACAUGACACCCUUUUUCAAAAAACAAAAUUACAGCAAAUAAACAACAUGUAAAACACUAGUUUGAGAAACUAGAGUAUAUAAUUUUGAUACAAUUAACAUUUUGUUUUAGAAAAAUUACUUCACCUACAUAUUACAGUUAAGGUUUUUGAAAAACAGCAAAGACAAUGAAAAUUUUUAACAUUCACAAAGAUAAAAAUACUAACAGAUUUUACACAAGUAUUUGAAUUGUUGACUAAGAUUGACUAGACUGUACAAAUGUAGAUUUUCAUAAGGACAAGUGCUAUAUUGUACU